rnacentral:rRNA from 1 species
UAUCAACUUUCGAUGGUAGGAUAGAGGCCUACCAUGGUGGUAACGGGUAACGGGGUGUUAGGGCACGACACCGGAGAGGGAGCCUGAGAAACGGCUACCACAUCCAAGGAUGGCAGCAGGCGCGCAAAUUACCCAAUCCCGACACGGGGAGGUAGUGACAAUAAAUAACAAUACGGGGUUCUUUCGGAUCUCGUAAUUGGAAUGAGUACAAUUUAAAUCUCUUAACGAGGAACAAUUGGAGGGCAAGUCUGGUGCCAGCAGCCGCGGUAGUUCCAGCUCCAAUAGCGUAUAUUAAAGUUGUUGCAGUUAAAAAGCUCGUAGUUGAAUUUCGGGGUUAGUAGGUUGGUCAUGCCUCUGGUAUGUACUGGUCUCACUGAUUCCUCCUUCCUUAUGAACCGUAAUGCCAUUAAUUUGGUGUUGCGGGGAAUUUGGACUGUUACUUUGAAAAAAUUAGAGUGUUUAAAGCAGGCUAACGCUUGAAUACAUUAGCAUGGAAUAAUGAAAUAGGACGUUCGAUCUUAUUUUGUUGGUUUCUAGGAUUGACGUAAUGAUUAAUAGGGAUAGUUGGGGGCAUUAGUAUUCAAUUGUCAGAGGUGAAAUUCUUGGAUUUAUUGAAGACUAACUACUGCGAAAGCAUUUGCCAAGGAUGUUUUCAUUAAUCAAGAACGAAAGUUAGGGGAUCGAAGACGAUCAGAUACCGUCGUAGUCUUAACCAUAAACUAUGCCGACUAGGGAUCGGAUGAUGUUAAUUUUUUAAUAACUCAUUCGGCGCCUUACGGGAAACCAAAGUGUUUGGGUUC